UCUUGCAAAGUAUUUCUUUACUUCAAAGCUUAAACAACAUCAAAGAAAGCAUACAGACAAAGCACUGUUGGAAAGUAAGUAACAUGCCCUUAUUUUUAGCACUUGCCCACUUGUCACUCUUUAACUCUCAUCUGCCUUUCAAAUGUAAUCUAAUUUUUAUGCAUACUGUACGCUCGUACAGACAAUUUCCCCAUUUCAGAGUACGUCGAGUUUGGUAAAGUCUUUUGUACUUUUCCUUAACCUGUUUCAGAAAUAGCACUAUCACCAUUUGUCUCAGUAAUACAUAGUAUGAUGGAAAUUGACAUUUUUCUAUAUAGAAGUGAAAACAAUAUUAGUUUUAUCAAGGACUGGAUUCCCUCUUCCCCUUCAGUUAGAUUUUAAUUUGGCCACUUCAGGUCUUACUGUGUAGCGUGAUUUUAAGCAAUGGUCAGUGUGAUUGCAGGCUCUAUCACCUACUAAUUGACCAUAAGAGGAAUUAUAUGUCCAAAGUCAAGGUGUAGAGUGAAUGGCAUAUGUCAGGGUCAAUUAUAAGGUGAAAGACCCUGCAAUAGAAAAGACUGCACUGAUUAGAGCAUGAUGUUGACAUGGGAGCUGAAGCUUCAAUGUUUUUUCAAAGGGCACUGUCACAGCCACCCUUCCUUGAAGUCUCAAAAUCAGGGGUGGAUUAUGUCACUAGUUUAUAUUACGCAUGAUGUAAUAAAAGUUCAAUGGGAUAUUGAAAGUUACAAUUGAUUUGUGGGUUUUUUGCAGCCAUAAAAUGCUUUCUCUGUAUCACUCAAAAUUAAGCUUGCUGCUUUGCUAAUUAGGUCAAAAUAGCUCUAUACUUACUAGAUUAAUUCUCUUUUGAAAAAUCUGACUGUGAGACAAAAAGACUAUUAAAUAUGACACAGUUAAGAAGUGGUUUGAUUGUUAAAGUUAUUAACAUUACUUGUUCUGGCAAAAUGGAACAGAAUAGAAACAAUGAAAUGGAGAGAAAAUAGUCCUUUUUAUUACUUAAAGCUAUGUUAUAAAUACGUUAUGGAAAGAUUUUCUCAGUGAAACAAACAGGACGAAAAAGCUGGUGUUUGCUUAUUUCCUUGAAACUUCAGCAGCUCUAACAUGCUCAAAUAUUCUUAAUCAGUGACGAACUGCAGAACCAUUUAGUAAGUAAUGAUCCCAAGUUAUAUACCAUCACAGUAAGACACUAUAGCUCAUUUUUAGAUUUCCAUUGCACCAGUUCAAUUUUCUGACUCUUUUCUUUGAAAGCUGUUUCUCUAAAUUUCUGCGUCUCUGUGAAAAUACCCCAGUCAUUUCUGCCUAUAAGCUCCCAGUGGUUUAGCUCAUGCUGAUAAAGAAGCUGUAGCUUAACCUCAUUAACUAGAUAGCUAAUUUCUCUCUCUUCUCAUGGGUUAUUAUCCAUGACCAUAUUUCUCUUGAGUGUUUUGCAGCCAUCAAAUAGAUGGCUAACUCCCCAAAAAUUAAAGCCUGUAGGUUUAGAUUCAAAGUUGUUGGAUGAUGAACAUGUUAUAAGGAUUAUUGAGUCUAAAAGAUCUUUUUCUUCUUCUCUAGAACGGAUAAUAGGAGAUCAUAGUCUCUAACACACAGAAAUGCUCCAAAAUUUCCAUCUUCAGAGUCUUCAUUGGCACUUAAUAUAGCUUCACAGGAAGCAUGUCACGUUAGAUAAUAGCGACUUGGUUUUGAAUCUUUUAUAUGUAUUUCUUUACCACAAACUCACCUCUGAUCUGCAUUUGUUUCAAUGUAACACUAGAAUAGUUCUCACAUUCGUUUUCUAUUUAAAACUUAUGUUAAUUUUAAAAUCAAAAAGUUUGUUUCUAAAAAUCCUUUUUUUUCUUUUUUAAAGUGAGGGAAAAAAAACCCCAACCAAAACAGGAGGAUAUAGAAGUUCUUUAACCUCUAAAUACAACACCCAUGCUUAACUUUUCCAUUGCAAUCAACGGAAAUUGCAAUCAAUUUCCAAUGCAAUCAAUUCUAUUCUACAUUGCUAUCUAGAACAGAAACUCCUUUGAUACUACAGGCUUUCUGGUAAGCUGUGGUGCUCAGACAUCUUUUUCCCCUUGAAAGUACUGAAGGACUUCAAAUGGAGAAAAAUACAUUACAAUCCCAUGGAUUAAGCUCAACAGAAAAAUGGUAAAUGAAGGACCUUGCCAGUCAUACAUGACAGUUUCUCUUGGAGGUAAUUAAUGUUAGUGGUUUUACUAAUAAAAUAAAAAUUUCAAGCACUGAAAACAGAGCUAGUCGAGUGAAAAAUCUGUUCAGCUGCCAGUGAAUAUUAAUUUUAGCUUGCACUAGUGCCUGCUGGCAAUGGAAAAAGACUGGACAUUUUGAUGGAGAUGUAAUCUUAUAAGGUUAAUUUUACACUUUUGACUCAUUGAAGAUUGGUACAUUGACUAAUGAAAAUUAAGUUCAUCAAAAGCUUACAAAAACCAGCAUCAUAAAAGGACCACUGCCUUUUAUUCAAGAACAUAUAUAAUGCUAUCUUAGGCUAAAUUCAAUUUCUCUUGCAGUGAUUAAUAAAGACAGGUCUGAGAGUCUUCUUCAAUGCUAUAGAGAGGACAAAGUAAAGUUGCUGGAUUUCACAGUUCUGCAGCAACAAGUCAAAUCACCUAUGAAAAUGGAAAACCUUGUCUUAUCUGAACUAGAAACUAUAGGAUUAUCUGCAUAUAUUUUUAGUAGUGUUUAUACGGAGCACUUAAGAGCAAGAAGCCCAUAGGCCCAGUAAGUCAUCCUUCACAUACAGCGCUGAUCACCGGAGCCAUAUCUGAGAGAAUGGCUAGAGAUGGACCUGAAGCCACUGUAUGCCUAUUUCUAUUUAAAAAGAGGUGAACAACAUGACAAGGUGUUUGAGCUAAUCUUAGCAGGCUGUUUUAUCUUGGGCAUAGUGCACUGUUAGCAAGGUAAUGCAGCAUUCAGAGUGACGCUCACUGUACCUGGUGAGCUUAAAAUGUAGACAGGACGACCUUGAGUCCUUCUACACCCGGAUG
rnacentral:lncRNA from 1 species